CAUGCUAAAGUGGUUUCCUUGGGUUUGGAGGCUGGAAGGGCAAAGGAGAGCGUGGUAGGAGCUAUUUCGGCGGUGAGGUCAUCUUGCUGCCUGGUUUCUCUUGGAUCCCUGUGACUACGCCAUGUGGCCAGGCCCAGGCUAGCCUGACGGGUGGUGAAAGCCGCUUGGAGAAGGACCCCUGAGGUCCCCGCUGGCCAGGCAGCCUCACUGACCACCUAAGCAGGAUGGAGUUGCGGCCAGUGAGUCGGAAUCAAACUCAAGACCUUGGGCUUGCCAGGCAAGUGCUUGUGCCGCUGAGCUACAUCCCCGGCCCAAUCAACUUCUUUUAAGGUUAUGACCAUUAAAGUUUUAAUUUCAUCUGGAGUUACUUUUGAACCCUGAUGGACACAGAUCUCCACGGCUGGCCUUGUCUGCAGGGAGCCCGAAGCAGACAGAGACAGAGAGAGACCUGGCUGGGAAGUGCAGGUGCAGCUCAGGGAGGCUCUGAUGCAAGAUUUCUGGCCCAAGAACCGGAACCUUGGUGCAGAUGGCCCGAUGCCCUGAAAGGCGGAACGGCUGCCAUAUGUGGUCACAUUAGCUGCUUCUGCCUGCGCCUCUGACCUGGUGCCACGUCCUUCGGCCUGGGCCGUGUUGUGCUGCCUCUCUCUGAGAUGGAAGGGGAUAGUACCGGAAGCCAGGUCCUGAAGCAACAACGAACUGGCCCCUCACUCCUUGGUUGUCAGUUUUUGGUGCCCUUAAUGAAAGAAUUCAACCAAGUGCAUAAGCAGCCACGCAGCCUGGGGAAAAUGAAUUGUAAAGGGGAUGCAGAGAGAGUUGCCCCUUCAAGAGAGAAGGUGGGCAGGGCCGUGAAGGUGUGUGCAUGACCGCAAGUUCAGAAGCCUUUUUAGGGACCUAGGGUUACUCUUGGGGUCCAAGGAGCUGGGGCAAUUGUGAUGCUUAUCACUGUUUUACCGGGAAGUUACCUAGGAAUUGCA